rnacentral:rRNA from 1 species
ACGAGGCGAACCGGGGGAACUGAAACAUCUAAGUACCCCGAGGAAAAGAAAUCAACCGAGAUUCCCCCAGUAGCGGCGAGCGAACGGGGAGCAGCCCGGAGUCUGAAUCAGCUUGUGUGUUAGUGGAAGCGUCUGGAAAGUCGCAGGGUACAGGGUGAUACUCCCGUACACUAAAACACACAGGUUGUGAACUCGAAGAGUAGGGCGGGACACGUGGUAUCCUGUCUGAAUAUGGGGGGACCAUCCUCCAAGGCUAAAUACUCCUGACUGACCGAUAGUGAACCAGUACCGUGAGGGAAAGGCGAAAAGAACCCCGGCGAGGGGAGUGAAAAAGAACCUGAAACCGUGUACGUACAAGCAGUAGGAGCCCACUUGUUGGGUGACUGCGUACCUUUUGUAUAAUGGGUCAGCGACUUAUAUUCUGUAGCAAGGUUAACCGUAUAGGGGAGCCGCAGGGAAACCGAGUCUUAACUGGGCGUUAAGUUGCAGGGUAUAGACCCGAAACCCGGUGAUCUAGCCAUGGGCAGGUUGAAGGUUGGGUAACACUAACUGGAGGACCGAACCGACUAAUGUUGAAAAAUUAGCGGAUGACUUGUGGCUGGGGGUGAAAGGCCAAUCAAACCGGGAGAUAGCUGGUUCUCCCCGAAAGCUAUUUAGGUAGCGCCUCGUGAACUCAUCUUCGGGGGUAGAGCACUGUUUCGGCUAGGGGGUCAUCCCGACUUACCAACCCGAUGCAAACUACGAAUACCGAAGAAUGUUAUCACGGGAGACACACGGCGGGUGCUAACGUCCGUCGUGAAGAGGGAAACAACCCAGACCGCCAGCUAAGGUCCCAAAGUCAUGGUUAAGUGGGAAACGAUGUGGGAAGGCCCAGACAGCCAGGAUGUUGGCUUAGAAGCAGCCAUCAUUUAAAGAAAGCGUAAUAGCUCACUGGUCGAGUCGGCCUGCGCGGAAGAUGUAACGGGGCUAAACCAUGCACCGAAGCUGCGGCAGCGACACUAUGUGUUGUUGGGUAGGGGAGCGUUCUGUAAGCCGUUGAAGGUGGCCUGUGAGGGUUGCUGGAGGUAUCAGAAGUGCGAAUGCUGACAUAAGUAACGAUAAUGCGGGUGAAAAACCCGCACGCCGGAAGACCAAGGGUUCCUGUCCAACGUUAAUCGGGGCAGGGUGAGUCGACCCCUAAGGCGAGGCCGAAAGGCGUAGUCGAUGGGAAACAGGUUAAUAUUCCUGUACUCGGUGUUACUGCGAAGGGGGGACGGAGAAGGCUAUGUUGGCCGGGCGACGGUUGUCCCGGUUUAAGCAUGUAGGCGGAUGUUCCAGGUAAAUCCGGAACGUCACUAACGCUGAGGUGUGAUGACGAGGCACUACGGUGCUGAAGUGACAAAUGCCCUGCUUCCAGGAAAAGCCUCUAAGCAUCAGGUAACAUCAAAUCGUACCCCAAACCGACACAGGUGGUCAGGUAGAGAAUACCAAGGCGCUUGAGAGAACUCGGGUGAAGGAACUAGGCAAAAUGGUGCCGUAACUUCGGGAGAAGGCACGCUGAUGGUAGGUGAAGCGACUUGCUCGUGGAGCUGAAAUCAGUCGAAGAUACCAGCUGGCUGCAACUGUUUAUUAAAAACACAGCACUGUGCAAACACGAAAGUGGACGUAUACGGUGUGACGCCUGCCCGGUGCCGGAAGGUUAAUUGAUGGGGUUAUCCGUAAGGAGAAGCUCUUGAUCGAAGCCCCGGUAAACGGCGGCCGUAACUAUAACGGUCCUAAGGUAGCGAAAUUCCUUGUCGGGUAAGUUCCGACCUGCACGAAUGGCGUAAUGAUGGCCAGGCUGUCUCCACCCGAGACUCAGUGAAAUUGAACUCGCUGUGAAGAUGCAGUGUACCCGCGGCAAGACGGAAAGACCCCGUGAACCUUUACUAUAGCUUGACACUGAACACUGGUCCUUGAUGUGUAGGAUAGGUGGGAGGCUUUGAAGUGUGGACGCCAGUCUGCAUGGAGCCAUCCUUGAAAUACCACCCUUUAAUGGCUGGUGUUCUAACGUGGGCCCCUGAUCGGGGUUGCGGACAGUGUCUGGUGGGUAGUUUGACUGGGGCGGUCUCCUCCUAAAGAGUAACGGAGGAGCACGAAGGUCAGCUAAUCCUGGUCGGACAUCAGGAGGUUAGUGCAAUGGCAUAAGCUGGCUUGACUGCGAGCGUGACGGCGCGAGCAGGUGCGAAAGCAGGUCAUAGUGAUCCGGUGGUUCUGAAUGGAAGGGCCAUCGCUCAACGGAUAAAAGGUACUCCGGGGAUAACAGGCUGAUACCGCCCAAGAGUUCAUAUCGACGGCGGUGUUUGGCACCUCGAUGUCGGCUCAUCACAUCCUGGGGCUGAAGUAGGUCCCAAGGGUAUGGCUGUUCGCCAUUUAAAGUGGUACGCGAGCUGGGUUUAGAACGUCGUGAGACAGUUCGGUCCCUAUCUGCCGUGGGCGCUGGAGAAUUGAGGGGGGCUGCUCCUAGUACGAGAGGACCGGAGUGGACGCAUCACUGGUGUUCGGGUUGUCAUGCCAAUGGCAUUGCCCGGUAGCUAAAUGCGGAAGAGAUAAGUGCUGAAAGCAUCUAAGCACGAAACUUGCCCCGAGAUGAGUUCUCCCUGACUCCUUGA